rnacentral:rRNA from 1 species
AGCAGCCGCGGUAAUUCCAGCUCCAAUAGCGUAUAUUAAAGUUGUUGCAGUUAAAAAGCCCGUAGUUGAAUUUCGGGAUUGACGUGAUGGUCAUGCCUUAAGGGGUAUGAACUGUUACAGUUGAUUUCUCACCUUCUGGAGAAACUUGAUGUCCUUUAUUGGGUGUCUUGCGGAUCCAGGACCUUUACCUUGAAAAAAUUAGAGUGUUUAAAGCAGGCAUUUUUGCUCGAAUACAUUAGCAUGGAAUAAUAGAAUAGGACGGCAUGGUUCUAUUUUGUUGGUUUCUAGGAUCACCGUAAUGAUUAAUAGGGAUAGUUGGGGGCAUUAGUAUUCAAUUGUCAGAGGUGAAAUUCUUGGAUUUAUUGAAGACUAACUACUGCGAAAGCAUUUGCCAAGGAUGUUUUCAUUAAUCAAGAACGAAAGUUAGGGGAUCGAAGACGAUCAGAUACCGUCGUAGUCUUAACCAUAAACUAUGCCGACUAGGAAUCAGACGAUGUUAAUUUUUAAUGACUCGUUUGGC